GGGUUUCUCUUCCGCUCUUUCGCGGGGCCUCUGGCUCCCCCAGCGCAGCUGGAGUGGGGGACGGGUAGGCUCGUCCCAAAGGCGCGGCGCUGAGGUACUCCAAAGAUUCAGGUUUACUCACGUCAUCCAGCAGAGAAUGGAAAGUCAAAUUUCCUGAAUUGCUAUGUGUCUGGGUUUCAUCCAUCCGACAUUGAAGUUGACUUACUGAAGAAUGGAGAGAGAAUUGAAAAAGUGGAGCAUUCAGACUUGUCUUUCAGCAAGGACUGGUCUUUCUAUCUCUUGUACUACACUGAAUUCACCCCCACUGAAAAAGAUGAGUAUGCCUGCCGUGUGAACCAUGUGACUUUGUCACAGCCCAAGAUAGUUAAGUGGGAUCGAGACAUGUAAGCAGCAUCAUGGAGGUUUGAAGAUGCCACAUUUGGAAUGGAUGAAUUCCAAAUUCUGCUUGCUUGCUUUUUAAUAUUGAUAUGCUUAUACACUUAUACUUUAUGCACAAAAU
rnacentral:sRNA from 1 species